GGGAAAUUACAUCUCUAAUAAAAUGAAAUUUCACGUCAACAUGUUUAUACCUAUUAUAUAACAUAGGAUUUCUACUCAAAUAUAAGCCACUUUGGCUAUCAGAAUGUAAGAUAACAUCAUUUAUGAAACCAAAUUCAUUUAGAAGUCCUUUUAGCCAAAUUUCCUCUUUAAUUGCAUCAGUAGCAGCUAUAUAUUCUGCUUCAGUUGAAGACAAUGCAACAAUCUUUUGUAAUUGUGAUUUCCAACUUAUACAGGAAUUACAUAAAGUGUAUACAUAGGCAAAAGUCAAUUUUCUGUUAUCCCUAUCACCUGCAUAAUCAGAAUCAGUGAAACCCCUUAAGAUAACACCCUCAGAUUGUUUUCCAUACUCAAUUCCUAGGUCACAAGUUCCCUUAAUGUAUCUUAGAAGCCACUUCAUCGCUUCCCAAUGAACCUCAUCAGGAUUAGACAUAUAUCUACUCAAUAGACUUAUUGCAAAUGCCAAAUCAGGUCUAGAACAAAUCGUUAGAUACAUAACUAACCCCACAGCAUUAGAAUAUGACACUCUAGCCAUUUUUUUUUAACUCUUCUUUAGUUUUGGGACAUUGAUCAUUAGAUAAUUUGAAGUGAUUAGCUAAAGGUAGACUCACACUUUUAGCAUCGGACAUUGCAAAUCUUUCAAGUAUUUUCAAAGCACAAGAUUUUUUAUUUAGGCUUAGUGUGCCCUCUCUUCUAUUUCUUUUAAUUUCGAUACCUAAGAUUUUUCUAACAGGACCUAAAUCCUUCAUUUCAAAUUAAAAUUAAAAUUUUUCUUUAAUUGACUCUAUUUCCUUUAUAUCAUGACUCGCUAAAAGCAUGGCAUCCACAUAAAGUAGAAGAUAGAGUGAAUUCUCACCUCCGUUUCCUUUACAAUAAAGACAAGUAUCGAAAUUACUUCUUUUAAAACUAAAUCCAAGCACAAAAGUGUCAAAUCUCUUGUACCAUUGUCUUGAAACUUGUUUUAAACCAUAAAAUGACUUUUGAAGAAGGCAUACUAAGUCUGAAUUUUUAUUUACUUUAGAUCCUUUAGGUUGUUCCAUAAAAAUGGUUUAUUCAAGAUCUCCAUUUAAAAACGCAGUUUUUACAUCUAAUUGAUCCAAUUCUCAAUUAAAUUGAGCUGCUAGGGCGAGCAUAACUCUAACAGUUGUAAAUUUUACAACGGGGGAAAAUAUUUCAUUAAAGUCUAUCCCCUCCUUUUGAGUUAAACCCUUAGCCACAAGUCUUGCCUUGUAUCUAAUGUCAUUCUUAUCUUUUUCACCUCUUUUGAUCUUUUAGAUCCACUUGCAAUCUAUAACUCUCUUUCCUUUAGGUCUUUUUACCAAGGUUUAAGUUUUAUUCUUUCUCAACGAUUCCAUCUCAUCAUGCAUUGCUUCUAGCCAAUGCUUAGAGUCCUUGCUAAUCAUAGCAUCUUUACAGGACUCAGAUUCAUUCUCAAUGAACCCCUGAACAGUAAGAAGGGAUAUUUCAUCAUCAAAUCUCACGGGUGGUCUUAUUUCUCUCCUUUCUCUAUCUCUAGCAAGUUGAUAAUCAUUUAAAGGUUGAUUAACCUCAAAAUCAGAUUCAUUUUGAUCAGUUUCUUCAUCAUUUUGAGCCUCAAUUUCACUAUUUUCAAUGUGAUCAGGUUGUAGAUUAUCAUUAUUAACUUGCUCCACCUCAAUUUUAGUUUUCCUUCCUUCAUUUUCAGUCUGACCAGAUUCAUUAGUGUUAUUUUCAGAUUUCAAACAAGGCAGAUCAGUUUCAUUAAACACCACAUUUCUACUUAUAAUGAUCUUAUAACCUUUGGUCUCUCUUACCCAUAGUCUAUACCCCUUCACCAUAGCCCAAUAAAACACACUUAAGGGCCCUAGGUUCAAGUUUCCCUUCAGAUUGAUGUGCAAAGGCUGCACACCCAAAUAUUUUAGAUUACUCAAAUCUACAGAUUUUCCUGUCCAAACUUCUUCAGGGGAUUUACAUUGUAUAGCACUAGCGGGACUUCUAUUUAUGAGAUAACUAGCAGUUUUUGCAGCUUCUCCCCAAAAUAACUUGGGAAGACCAAAACCUAAUAACAUGCAUCUAACUCUCUCAAGAAUGGUUCGGUUCAUUCUUUCAGCCAAGCCAUUUUGUUAUGGGGUGUGUAUCACUGUUUUGUGUCUCAAAAUGCCAUGCAAUUUGCACAAUUCAUCAAAUUCAUAAUUGCAAAACUUAAGCCCAUUAUCAGUCCUCAACACUUUAAUCUUUUUAUUUGUUUGAUUCUCAAUCAAGGUUUUCCAUUCUUUAAAAGCAUUAAAAGUGUCGGACUUAUGUUUAAGCAGAAAGAGCCAGUUUUUCCUAGAACAAUCAUCUAUGAUUAAAAGGAAAAAUCUGAAACCAGUAUGUGUGGGCACAGAAAUCGGUCCCCAAAGAUCAGCAUGGAAAUAUUCAAGAAUAGACACAGAUUUAUGCAACCCAAGCAGAAAUGGUGAUCUAUUUUGGUUUCCUAGUAUGCAAUGAUCACAAAAACUGAGUUUCUCAAUUAUAUCUUUACCAAAGGCACCUUGUUUUUUCAAAAUCUGAAGUCCUUUGUCACUAAUAUGGUCCAAUCUUUUAUGCCGUAAUUGUGACUUAUCAUUGGGGACAGAAAUUGCUGCUGAUGUAGAGUCAAAAAAGUUUUGAGUAUGUAAAAUAUAAAACCCAUGUCUCUUGGGGGCUUCGGCAACAAGUUGAGAGCUCCUCAAGAUCUUAAUGUAUCCCUUGUUAAUCACAAUAUUGUAGUUCAGGUCAUCUAGGACACCUAAGGAUAUCAAAUUUCUUUGUAGGUCAGGAACAUACCUGGUCUUAUCUAAGAUCAAUUCAUUAUUACCAUCCAACCUUAAGGUGAUUGUUCCUAUUCCUUUUACCUGACAAGACAUGUGAUUACCCAUUAACACUUGGCCUCAACUUACAUUUUCAAACUCACUAAACCCCUUUUAGGACACAUGUGAAAGGUACAACCGGAGUCAAGGAUCCACUCCUGACUAGGUGGACUGUGUACAGCAACAUAAACUUCAUCUAUCUUGGUCUCAUUAUUAUAGGCUAAAGCAGCACCACCAUUAUUAUUAGACUUAUUCCUCAAAUCAUUAAGUCUCUUACUACAAUCUUCGAUAAAAUGACCUUCACCAAGACAGUAAAAACACUUUUUACCCUUAGUCUUGGUUUUUAUUUUAUCUUUAAAGUUCACAUUCUUUUUGUGUCCAGGUUGCUUAUUGAAAUUGACAAUUUUUGGAUUUGUGUUUGGUUUGGACUUAACCAUCAAAUUUUCACCACUAACAGAUUCCCUCUUCUCAGAUUUUAACUCUAACUCUUUGUUUCUCAAUGCAUUUAUUAUCACAUCAGUAUUUGGAGUCUCCCUUCCAUAUUCAAUAGCAUUUUUGACAUCUUUGUACCUAUCACUUGUGAAUUUAACAAAACCACAGCCAACUGCUCUUUUGAGAGUUUCUCAUCACAGUCGGCUAGGUCACGGGAUAAUCUGUUGAAUCUAUCAAUGUUAGCAUCAAGACCAAGAGAUGGGUCCAAUUUGAAACCAAAAAAUUGUUUUAGAAUAUACACUUUAUUAGGCAUGGUUUUAUUCAAAUAAGUAUCUUUCAAUUUUUUUCCACAACUCAGCAGCAGUUUUUGUCUCACCAAUUUCUCGCAACACAUUGUUAGACAAAUGCAAGAAUAUAG
rnacentral:lncRNA from 1 species